rnacentral:rRNA from 1 species
AGUGAACGCUGGCGGUAGGCCUAACACAUGCAAGUCGAACGGCAGCACAGUAAGAGCUUGCUCUUACGGGUGGCGAGUGGCGGACGGGUGAGGAAUACAUCGGAAUCUACUUUUUCGUGGGGGAUAACGUAGGGAAACUUACGCUAAUACCGCAUACGACCUACGGGUGAAAGCAGGGGAUCUUCGGACCUUGCGCGAUUGAAUGAGCCGAUGUCGGAUUAGCUAGUUGGCGGGGUAAAGGCCCACCAAGGCGACGAUCCGUAGCUGGUCUGAGAGGAUGAUCAGCCACACUGGAACUGAGACACGGUCCAGACUCCUACGGGAGGCAGCAGUGGGGAAUAUUGGACAAUGGGCGCAAGCCUGAUCCAGCCAUACCGCGUGGGUGAAGAAGGCCUUCGGGUUGUAAAGCCCUUUUGUUGGGAAAGAAAAGCAGCAGGUUAAUACCCCGCUGCUCUGACGGUACCCAAAGAAUAAGCACCGGCUAACCUCGUG